UACGGAAGGCAGCAGUGGGGAAUAUUGCACAAUGGGCGCAAGCCUGAUGCAGCCAUGCCGCGUGUAUGAAAAAGGCCUUCGGGUUGUAAAGUACUUUCAGUCGUGAGGAAGGUGUUAAGGUUAAUAACCUUAGCAAUUGACGUUAGCGACAGAAGAAGCACCGGCUAACUCCGUGCCAGCAGCCGCGGUAAUACGGAGGGUGCGAGCGUUAAUCGGAAUUACUGGGCGUAAAGGGCACGCAGGCGGUUAAUUAAGUUGGAUGUGAAAUCCCCGGGCUUAACCUGGGAAUGGCAUUCAAGACUGGUUAGCUAGAGUCUUGUAGAGGGGGUAGAAUUCCGAUGUGUAGCGGUGAAAUGCGUAGAGAUGUGGAGGAAUACCGGUGGCGAAGGCGGCCCCUGGACAAAGACUGACGCUCAUGUGCGAAAGCGUGGGGAGCAAACAGGGAUUAGAUACC
rnacentral:rRNA from 1 species